rnacentral:misc_RNA from 1 species
ACAAACUUGGUCAUUUAGAGGAAGUAAAAGUCGUAACAAGGUUUCCGUAGGUCGAGUUCAGCCUACGACAACAGCGCCCAGCGCUGUUAGUCAGACCCACAGCGAUCUGGCGACACGCCCAUCGUGCGGAGAGGGCCUGGCAUUCAGGCAAACCCGCAGCCCACCGCCCUUACCCGGCGGUCGGUUCAGAGACUCAAUAGGCGUGGGUUCGGCGCGGCCGAGCUUGAGAUAGAGCCCAGCCCGGCAGGCAAUUGUCGGGACCAACUGGAACCUGCGGAAGGAUCAUUAAAGAAUAAUCCUAUUCUCUCUCUUUGUGGACUUAACCAUUGUUGCUUUGGCAGUGCCCCCGGCCUUCGGGCUGGACAGCGCCUGCCAGAGGACCGAAACCCUUGAAUUUUUGCUGUCUGAGUACUAUUUUCAAUAGUUAAAACUUUCAACAACGGAUCUCUUGGUUUUGGCAUCGAUGAAGAACGCAGC